CCUACGGGGCGCAGCAGUGGGGGAUAUUGCACAAUGGGGGAAACCCUGAUGCAGCGACGCCGCGUGUGGGAAGACGGUCCUCUGGAUUGUAAACCACUGUUCCCAGGGACGAAGAUGACGGUACCUGGGGAGGAAGCUCCGGCUAACUACGUGCCAGCAGCCGCGGUAAUAGGUAGGGAGCAAGCGUUGUCCGGAAUUACUGGGUGUAAAGGGAGCGUAGUCGGGAUGGCACGUUGGGGGUUAAAUCUACCGGCUAAACUGGUAGUCGCACUCAAAACUGCUAUUCUUGAGUGAAGUAGAGGCAGGCGGAAUGCCUAGUGUAGCGGUGAAAUGCGUAGAUAUUAGGAGGAACACCAGUGGCGAAGGCGGCCUGCUGGGCUUUUACUGACGCUGAGGCUCGAAAGUGUGGGGAGCAAACAGGAUUAGAUACCCCUGUAGUC
rnacentral:rRNA from 1 species